GGGAGAGGCAACUUCCUCUGGUCUUCUGGAGGUGCAUCCUACUCGUCCAGUAGGAUAUAUUGCCGGGUUGUGAUAUGUCCAGGCCUCUCCCCAGCUGUCUUCCUUCCCAGCCCUCCCGGCUUGGCUUUCUUGCUUCCCCAGGAGUUCAAAUCUCCAAUCCGCGGAAGAAUUCAGCUGCUUGAAAGGACUUCAGGCAGUGUGAGGAGGACAUCUCCCUUCUCCGCCAGUAAAGAGAGCUGGUCAAAGACUGAGGCUGCUGACGAUGACGUGGAGAGGAUUUCAAACAACCUUAACACGCUUUGAACUGGCAGGGUGCGGUGAUAUCUGCCUCACUCUGGCGCAGCUCCUUCAGAACACUUGCUAGGACAAUGGCUGAGCAAGCACUUGGUACUGGCCUCUCUGCCUGGGGCGAGGACUGCCCAACCCCCAGAGACCCUAAAGCAGGAGUUGCCUGCGCCACAAUGGAGAAGUCUCUGUCUUAGGCUGCACCUCAGGUUCUCUCAGAUCUUCUGGAAGGGCGUUAUUCAGCGGCACUGUGGUUGCACUGCCCCAGCAGCUGCUUGAUGGAGACCUCUCCUCCCCACAUCUGAAUGGAACGCCUUUGCUCAGAGUCUACAGAACGUCAAAACUGAGGCUCCAACCUCAGAGCUACAGCUUUAAGGACCACUCCACACAAAGAGGCAGCUGGUUGCUUUAAUGAAAACUGCCUUUAAGCUUCAAGAACUGAAGCCUUGGGGAAUAAAUUUAUAAGGAGCCUAGAAAAAAACGCAUUUCCAAGUUGUAUGUUCUUGGGAGAUACAAAAUAAAAUUUACCUGAAAAAUUAAUUUU
rnacentral:lncRNA from 1 species